rnacentral:rRNA from 1 species
GAUGAACGCUAGCGGCAGGCUUAAUACAUGCAAGUCGAGGGGCAGCAUGAGUGUAGCAAUACAUUUGAUGGCGACCGGCAAACGGGCGCGGAACACGUACACAACCUUCCUAUAAGUGGGGAAUAGCCCAGAGAAAUUUGGAUUAAUACCCCGUAACAUAAUGAUGUGGCAUCACAUUAUUAUUAUAGCUACGGCGCUUAUUGAUGGGUGUGCGGCUGAUUAGAUAGUUGGCGGGGUAACGGACCACCAAGUCUACGAUCAGUAGCUGAUGUGAGAGCAUGAUAAGCCACACGGGCAAGGAAACACGGAACCGACGCCGAAGGGAGGCAGCAGUAAGGAAUAUUGGUCAAUGGACGCAAGUCUGAAGCAGCCAUGCCGCGUGAAGGAUUAAGGUCCUCUGGAUUGUAAACUUCUUUUAUCUGGGACGAAAAAAGGCGAUUCUUCGUCACUUGACGGUACCAGAUGAAUAAGCACCGGCUAACUCCGUGCCAGCCGCCGCCGUAAAAC